GUUGUAUGGUUAAGUGAUUAAGCGUAGACGGUGGAUGCCUUGGCAGUCAGAGGCGAUGCAGGACGUAU
rnacentral:rRNA from 1 species